CAGAACAGUAUGUGCUGAUAGGCUAAAGACAGAAAUUGCCCUCCAUUUGGACAGACAAUGAGCUGCGUGGACCAACCAUUGCUCAGAGCAGAAAAUAUUAACAAGGCCUGAAAACUGCACAGCAUUUUAUAUUAACAUUACAUAAAAGAAACCCCCAGCUGCGUAGCAACAAAGGCUAUGUGCACGGGAGCAUUUCAGUUACUGUGCAGCCACGCACCCAAGCAGUGAUUAUAAACCUAAGUCAUCUGUCACUCUACUGCUGGAAGGCCUGCAACUUAGACAGAACCUGUUGCUUCAUUGAAACCAAUCAGCAGCUGGGAGGCAGUGACAGCUUUGACAUCCAGUGAAAUUCGACAUGAGGUCUUACCAACUUUCAAAGCUAUUCUUUGAGUGCAUCUGGUCACUUACAGAGGAAAAGUGGCUCGACCCUAGGCCAUGUCAAUGAGCCUGAAGAAGAUGUGCCAGAAAACUGGGAGAAAAAGAACGGUCGAAGAGCAAAUGACUAGCUGUCUUAUGAUCAACACACACAGAAUGCUGGAGGAACUCAGCAGGCCAGGCAGCAUCUAUGGAAAAGAGUACAGUC